GGGUGAUCAGGCAAUUAACCUGAGUGGCACUGGAGGCUGUGCAGAGCACUUCUGUGGAGUUUUGUUUCUGAAAUGGCUUUUCUGGAAUUACGGCCUGGAGACUGGAUGGUCUGUAUUGCUCUCAGUUCACAGGGUAGGAGAGUGGUCCCGCCCGGCUGUUUCCAGUUACAGUCCAAGCUAGGAGGAAAUGCUGAUGGGAGCAGGCACAGCUUGAGCAUGACACAGGCCUGUCCCCGUCCUGAGGCCCAGCUAGACCUGGGCCUUGCCGACAGCUCUGCUUCCUCCUCCUGUAUCUCCUCCUCCU
rnacentral:lncRNA from 1 species